GAUGAACGCUGGCGGCGUGCUUAACACAUGCAAGUCGAACGAUGAACCGGGUGCUUGCACUCGGGGAUUAGUGGCGAACGGGUGAGUAACACGUGAGCAACCUGCCCCUGACUCUGGGAUAAGCGCUGGAAACGGCGUCUAAUACUGGAUAUGUCCCGUCACCGCAUGGUGUGCGGGUGGAAAGAUUUUUCGGUUGGGGAUAGGCUCGCGGCCUAUCAGCUUGUUGGUGAGGUAAUGGCUCACCAAGGCGUCGACGGGUAGCCGGCCUGAGAGGGUGACCGGCCACACUGGGACUGAGACACGGCCCAGACUCCUACGGGAGGCAGCAGUGGGGAAUAUUGCACAAUGGGCGGAAGCCCGAUGCAGCAACGCCGCGUGAGGGAUGACGGCCUUCGGGUUGUAAACCUCUUUUAGCAGGGAAGAAGCGAGAGUGACGGUACCUGCAGAAAAAGCACCGGCUAACUACGUGCCAGCCGCCGCUGUAA
rnacentral:rRNA from 1 species